rnacentral:rRNA from 1 species
GUCCACGCAGUAAACUGUGAACACUAGGUGUAGCGGGUAUUGACCCCUGCUGUGCCGAAGCUAACGCAUUAAGUGUUCCGCCUGGGAAGUACGGUCGCAAGGCUAAAACUCAAAGGAAUUGACGGGGGCCCGCACAAGCGGUGGAGCAUGUGGUUUAAUUCGACGCCAACGCGAAGAACCUUACCUGGGUUUGACAUCCCGGGAAUCCCCUGGAAACAGGGGAGUGCCCUUCGGGGAGCCCGGAGACAGGUGCUGCAUGGCUGUCGU